rnacentral:rRNA from 1 species
AGAGCGAACGCUGGCGGCAGGCCUAACACAUGCAUGUCGAACGGACUCUUCGGAGUUAGUGGCGGACGGGUGAGUAACACGUGGGAACGUGCCUUUAGGUUCGGAAUAGCUCCUGGAAACGGGUGGUAAUGCCGAAUGUGCCCUUCGGGGGAAAGAUUUAUCGCCUUUAGAGCGGCCCGCGUCUGAUUAGCUAGUUGGUGAGGUAAAGGCUCACCAAGGCUACGAUCAGUAGCUGGUCUGAGAGGAUGACCAGCCACAUUGGGACUGAGACACGGCCCAAACUCCUACGGGAGGCAGCAGUGGGGAAUCUUGCGCAAUGGGCGAAAGCCUGACGCAGCCAUGCCGCGUGAAUGAUGAAGGUCUUAGGAUUGUAAAAUUCUUUCAGUAGGGACGAUAAUGACGGUACCUACAGAAGAAGCCCGGACUAACUUCGUGCCAGCAGCCGC